ACGGGACACCUGCAUCUGCCAACAAGACUGGAAGCAGAAAGGGACAGAGACGGCGAAGUUUGACGGUCUGGAAAGCAGAGACCAGCAGGGCUGACUGCUUGGGAGCACCAAAUAUCCGGACAGCGCCUCUCGGGAGGUCCGAGAAGAGAACCGCGAUCUGUUUCAGCACCGGGGCUCAGGACAGUUCCCAGCGGGCUCCGUUUCGUCUCCAGAACCCUGGACAGCUCCUCCAGUAGAGACGGGGUUUCACCAUGUUGGCCAGGCUGGUCUCAAACUCUUGACCUCUUCAUCCGUCCACCUCAGCCUCCCAAAGUGCUAGGAUUACAGGCGUGAGUCACUGCGCCUGGCCCAAGUCCGGAAUUUUCAACAGGACAUGGGUGUUACUGUGCCCAUGUGACAUUUGGGGAACCCAAGGCCCUGAGAAAGGCAGAAAAAUAACCCACGCAGGGACUCUCAGCCCACAAGUGAAGCUGAGAACCGGGAAUGGAAAACAGGGAGGCAGCACAGAGGCAGGAAACUCAGGUGUCAUAGCUUGGCUCAGCCUCAGGGCUUUUGCCUCUGCUGUUCCUGCAGCUUGGAAUGCACUCCCUCCACCUCCACCCAGAGCUCCCCACAACUGACCCUGCCUUCUUCUGCAAGCUCCAUUUCAUCAAGGGAAACGAUCCUUAUUGCCUCACCAUUUCCCACGUGAAGUCUGUAUUGACAUUCUCAUAGACCUGGGAUAUUGUGUCUGCAGCACACAGUCCAAUUAUUUUCAUGUUAUCUACUGACAGGUCUAUUUGUCUCCCUGUUACACUGUGAGCUCCGUGAGGGCAGAAACAAUGUUAGUAUUUUCACUGCUGUGUCCCCAGCGCCUGGUCCGGGGCCCGGCACACAGCAGGCAUAUAAUAAGCAUGUGUUGAAUCAAUAAAGGCAUCAAAGAAUAAACCAAUACAUCAAUCAAUAAA
rnacentral:sRNA from 1 species